rnacentral:rRNA from 1 species
CCCGCUCAGAAACUACAAAUGAAUUGACGGGGCCCGCACAAGCGGUGGAGUAUGUGGUUUAAUUCGAUGCAACGCGAAGAACCUUACCUGGUCUUGACAUCCCGGAGACCCUUAGGAAACUAGGGGGUGCUUCCAUCUGGAAGAAUCUGGAGACAGGUGCUGCAUGGCUGUCGUCAGCUCGUGUCGUGAGAUGUUGGGUUAAGUCCCGCAACGAGCGCAACCCUUGCCUUUAGUUGCCAGCAGUUCGGCUGGGCACUCUAAAGGGACUGCCGGUGUUAAACCGGAGGAAGGUGGGGAUGACGUCAAGUCCUCAUGGCCUUUAUGACCAGGGCUACACACGUACUACAAUGGCCGAUACAAAGGGCAGCGACACUGCGAGGUGAAGCCAAUCCCGUAAAAUCGGUCUCAGUCCGGAUUGGAGUCUGCAACUCGACUCCAUGAAGUUGGAAUCGCUAGUAAUCGCGCAUCAGCCAUGGCGCGGUGAAUACGUUCCCGGGCCUU